GAUGAACGCUAGCGGCAGGCCUAACACAUGCAAGUCGAGGGGCAGCACAGAAACAGCAAUGUUUUGGUGGCGACCGGCGGACGGGUGCGUAACGCGUAUGCAACCUACCUUUAACAGGGGGAUAACGGAGAGAAAUUUCCACUAAUACCCCAUAACAUCGAUCAAGGCAUCUUGAUUGGUUGAAAACUCCGGUGGUUAAAGAUGGGCAUGCGUUGUAUUAGGUAGUUGGUGAGGUAAUGGCUCACCAAGCCUACGAUACAUAGGGGGACUGGGAGGUUAGGCCCCCACACCGGUACGGAGAAACGGACCAGACUCCUAAGGGAGGCAGCAGUGAGGAGUAUUGGUCAAUGGGGGCAACCCUGAACCAGCCAUGCCGCGUGCAGGAAGACGGCUCUAUGAGUUGUAAACUGCUUUUACAGGGGGAUAAAUCGGUGUACGUGUACGCCGUUGAAGGUACCUUGGGAAUAAGGAUCGGCUAACUCCGUGCCAGCAGCCGCAGUAA
rnacentral:rRNA from 1 species